GAUGAAGAACGUAGCGAAAUGCGAUAAGUAAUGUGAAUUGCAGAAUUCAGUGAAUCAUCGAAUCUUUGAACGCACAUUGCGCCCCUUGGUAUUCCGAGGGGCAUGCCUGUUCGAGCGUCAUUAUAACCCCUCAAGCUCAGCUUGGUGUUGGGGCCUGCUGCACUGGCAGCCCUUAAAAUCAGUGGCGGCGCCAUCUGGCUCUAAGCGUAGAAAUUCUUCUCGCUAUGGAGUCCUGGUGGAUGCUUGCCAUCAACCCCCAAUUUUUCUAUGGUUGACCUCGGAUCAGGUAGGGAUACCCGCUGAACUUAAGCAUAUCAAUAAGCGGACGA
rnacentral:misc_RNA from 1 species